rnacentral:rRNA from 1 species
UACGUAGGUGGCAAGCGUUGUCCGGAAUUACUGGGUGUAAAGGGAGCGCAGGCGGGAAGCCAAGUCAGCUGUGAAAACUACGGGCUUAACUUGUAGACUGCAGUUGAAACUGGUUUUCUUGAGUGAAGUAGAGGUUGGCGGAAUUCCGAGUGUAGCGGUGAAAUGCGUAGAUAUUCGGAGGAACACCGGUGGCGAAGGCGGCCAACUGGGCUUUAACUGACGCUGAGGCACGAAAGCGUGGGGAUCAAACAGG